UCAGGAAAUGCUCCCUCUCAGCCUCUACCAAUUGUUUCGUUCUAGCCUCCAUCCUUAAAGCCUCUUCCCUUGCCUUAGCUUCCAUCUUUUUAGUCUCUUCUUGAAGGAGAACUCUUAAACUGUCCUUCAAACGGUCGUCAAAGCUCACUCUCUGUGGUUUGGGGAAAUUGAAAUAUUGCCUUGGUGAGAUCCCAGCACCUAC
rnacentral:lncRNA from 1 species